rnacentral:rRNA from 1 species
UACGUAGGGUGCGAGCGUUGUCCGGAAUUACUGGGCGUAAAGAGCUCGUAGGUGGUUUGUCGCGUUGUUCGUGAAAACUCACAGCUUAACUGUGGGCGUGCGGGCGAUACGGGCAGACUGGAGUACUGCAGGGGAGACUGGAAUUCCUGGUGUAGCGGUGGAAUGCGCAGAUAUCAAGGAGGAACACCGGUGGCGAAGGCGGGUCUCUGGGCAGUGAAC